AUUUAGUGACCCGGAAAUAUUUUUUCCCGCACUAUUGAAUGCGAAGCACCAUGUCUCUGGAACCGUACAGAGAAGUGAUUUUGGACAUGAUUUUAAAACACCACACACACAAGGACGUUGCUGAGCAUCUGUCUCAAAUUGGUGUUGGGCGAGGUUGUUCGGCGAGGACUGUUAGAAGAUUUUGUGCCAGUCAUGGUGUGAGACGGGAGGUUUCCGACACUCAGCUGGAGAUAGCUGUAUCGGCAGCAGUACAAGAAGCAGGACCAACCUACGGUCGUAAAUUGAUGACCGGUUAUUUGACAUCAAAGGGAAUUCGAGCAGCAGAAAGUAGGGUUGGACGAGCCCUCCGGACAAUAAAUCGACCAUAUCAUGAAAUGCGAUGCAGUGGUGUACGGAAUC
rnacentral:lncRNA from 1 species